GGAGUGGCUACAUGAAGUUCUGAAGGAUGUUCAGCCCCGGGUCACUCCACUUGGCUAUGUCUUGCCCAGCCAUGUGACUGAGGAGAUGCUAUGGGAGUGCAAGCAGCUUGGGGCUCACUCCCCCUCCACCUUGCUGACCACCCUCAUGUUCUUUAAUACCAAGUAAGUGUUCUAGAGGCUCCACUGCUGGCAUCUGUCCAGUGAAGAGUGUGGAAACUAUCCAAGAGGCCUUCUGAAUUCCUCUGACAUAUAUUUGAGAAACUGGGCUACUGAAAGCCCUAACCCCACUUGGCUGCAUUUUAUUUGGUAACCAGUGAGGCAAACACCCUUGCCAGACCCCUACCAUCCAUCUUGAUGUGGUUCCUGCAUUGGACACUGCUUGGGUAUGGGCCUGCCCAGAUCUUGGGAAUGUGGGCAGUGGCUCCUCUGAAGCACCAGUGGGCAGAGGAUGAGUCAUGGUAUCCUCCCGGCACCCCUCCCUCUGCCUUGCAUUUUACUUGUGAUCCAGGUACUUCCUAUUGAAGACAGUGGACCAGCACAUGAAGCUGGCCUUCUCCAAGGUCUUGCGACAGACAAAGAAGAACCCCUCUAAUCCCAAGGAUAAAAGCACGAGUAUCCGGUACUUGAAGGCCCUUGGAAUACACCAGACUGGCCAGAAAGUUACAGAUGACAUGUAUGCAGAACAGACGGAAAAUCCAGAGAAUCCAUUGAGAUGUCCCAUCAAGCUCUAUGAUUUCUACCUCUUCAAAUGCCCCCAGAGUGUGAAAGGCCGGAAUGACACCUUUUACCUGACACCUGAGCCGGUGGUGGCCCCCAACAGCCCAAUCUGGUACUCAGUCCAGCCUAUCAGCAGAGAGCAGAUGGGACAAAUGCUGACGCGGAUCCUGGUGAUAAGAGAAAUUCAGGAGGCCAUCGCAGUGGCCAAUGCAAGCACUAUGCACUGAGAUGCCUUGGCCAUGGCACAAGAGAAACCAGCCAGGAAAAACCAGACAGACUUUCACACUAAAGAAGAGGCCUCCAU
rnacentral:sRNA from 1 species